GCCUAGUUAGCUUAGUUGGUAGCGCGUCUGUCUUGUAAGCGCUAGGCCGCGGGUUCGAUUCCCGCCCGGGGCG
rfam:Asian citrus Psyllid, Diaphorina citri - Florida Strain, whole genome shotgun sequence.